rnacentral:rRNA from 1 species
CACGUAGGGUGCGAGCGUUGUCCGGAAUUAUUGGGCGUAAAGAGCUCGUAGGCGGUGUGUCGCGUCGGCCGUGAAAACCUGCAGCUUAACUGUGGGCUUGCGGUCGAUACGGGCAUCACUGGAGUUCGGCAGGGGAGACUGGAAUUCCUGGUGUAGCGGUGAAAUGCGCAGAUAUCAGGAGGAACACCGGUGGCGAAGGCGGUUCUCUGGGCCUUACCUGACGCUGAGGAGCGAAAGCAUGGGGAGCAAACAGG